AACGAACGCUGGCGGCAUGCCUAACACAUGCAAGUCGAACGAUUGCCUUCGGGUGAUAGUGGCGCACGGGUGCGUAACGCGUUGGAAUCUGCCCUUAGGUUCGGAAUAACAGCUGGAAACGGCUGCUAAUACCGGAUGAUAUCGCGAGAUCAAAGAUUUAUCGCCUGAGGAUGAGCCCGCGUUGGAUUAGGUAGUUGGUGGGGUAAAGGCCUACCAAGCCGACGAUCCAUAGCUGGUCUGAGAGGAUGAUCAGCCACACUGGGACUGAGACACGGCCCAGACUCCUACGGGAGGCAGCAGUGGGGAAUAUUGGACAAUGGGCGCAAGCCUGAUCCAGCAAUGCCGCGUGAGUGAUGAAGGCCCUAGGGUUGUAAAGCUCUUUUACCCGGGAAGAUAAUGACUGUACCGGGAGAAUAAGCCCCGGCUAACUCCGUG
rnacentral:rRNA from 1 species